rnacentral:rRNA from 1 species
AUACGUAUGUCGCAAGCGUUAUCCGGAUUUAUUGGGCGUAAAGCGCGUCUAGGCGGCUUAGUAAGUCUGAUGUGAAAAUGCGGGGCUCAACCCCGUAUUGCGUUGGAAACUGCUAAACUAGAGUACUGGAGAGGUAGGCGGAACUACAAGUGUAGAGGUGAAAUUCGUAGAUAUUUGUAGGAAUGCCGAUGGGGAAGCCAGCCUACUGGACAGAUACUGACGCUAAAGCGCGAAAGCGUGGGUAGCAAACAGGAUUAGAUGCCCUGGUAGCCCACGCCGUAAACGAUGAUUACUAGGUGUUGGGGGUCGAACCUCAGCGCCCAAGCUAACGCGAUAAGUAAUCCGCCUGGGGAGUACGUACGCAAGUAUGAAACUCAAAUGAAUUGACGGGG